rnacentral:rRNA from 1 species
UAGGGAAUCUUCGGCAAUGGACGGAAGUCUGACCGAGCAACGCCGCGUGAGUGAAGAAGGUUUUCGGAUCGUAAAGCUCUGUUGUAAGAGAAGAACGAGUGUGUGAGUGGAAAGUUCACACUGUGACGGUAUCUUACCAGAAAGGGACGGCUAACUACGUGCCAGCAGCCGCGGUAAUACGUAGGUCCCGAGCGUUGUCCGGAUUUAUUGGGCGUAAAGCGAGCGCAGGCGGUUAGAUAAGUCUGAAGUUAAAGGCUGUGGCUUAACCAUAGUAGGCUUUGGAAACUGUUUAACUUGAGUGCAAGAGGGGAGAGUGGAAUUCCAUGUGUAGCGGUGAAAUGCGUAGAUAUAUGGAGGAACACCGGUGGCGAAAGCGGCUCUCUGGCUUGUAACUGACGCUGAGGCUCGAAAGCGUGGGGAGCAAACAGGAUUAGAUACCCUGGUAGUCCACGCUGUAAACGAUGAGUGCUAGGUGUUAGACCCUUUCCGGGGUUUAGUGCCGUAGCUAACGCAUUAAGCACUCCGCCUGGGGAGUACGACCGCAAGGUUG